AUGAAGCUUCUGCUGGCCUCCCUCAGCUGUGUACUUCUGAUACAAGGAGCAUUCUAUGAUGAAAACGGCGACACAGGGUCAUGGAAUUGCCUACGAGGAAGUUCUAAACAAGGGAGGAAGCAUUUCUCUAGCAAGACAGUCAUUGCAACGCUCCUGGUAUGUGUGGUUCUCACCGCUGUUGCUUUCGUCGGCACCACGGCGUACUACUUCCGCCGCAAGGACGCGCUCUCCCCGCGUUCCUUCUGCCCGCUCGUUUGCCGGAGCGAAGAUGGCCCGUUCCCGGGCAUGGUUCUCCGGUUCUCCUACGUGGAGUUGGAGCGGGCAACCGGCAAAUUCUCCGACGAACAGCAAAUCGGUGUCGGUGGGACGAGCAAGGUGUACUGUGGCCAGCUCGCCGAUGGCAAAGUCGUCUCCGUGAAGAAGCUUCGGCCCCUCGGAGGCGCCGACGAAGACUACGAGUUCUCCUCAGAGGUCGGCAGCUGGAGCGGCUGCUGGUGUUCGGAGUGCAUGACCAACGGCAACCUGCGGGAGUGCCUCGACGACCUCAACCGGAAGCCCAUGGACUGGGCGACGCUGUGUGUGGCGAGGGGCCUGGAGUACCUCCACGAGGUCGCGGUCAAUGGGGGCACGCCGGUGACGAUGGGCCAGAGCUGGCGGUCGGCGGAGCAGGUGGAGGUGGACCUGAUGGAACCGCGGUUGGAGACGUUCACGCAGCCAACGACGGCAACGAGCCUCUGCAGGUGA
rnacentral:rRNA from 1 species